rnacentral:rRNA from 1 species
AAGCUCGUAGUUGAAUUUCGGGGUUAGUAGGUUGGUCAUGCCUCUGGUAUGUACUGGUCUCACUGAUUCCUCCUUCCUUAUGAACCGUAAUGCCAUUAAUUUGGUGUUGCGGGGAAUUUGGACUGUUACUUUGAAAAAAUUGAGUGUUUAAAAGCAAGCUAACGCUUGAAUACAUUAGCAUGGAAUAAUGAAAUAGGACGUUCGAUCUUAUUUUGUUGGUUUCUAGGAUUGACGUAAUGAUUAAUAGGGAUAGUUGGG